ACCUAUAAAGCUCUUCAUGGUCAGGCCCCUUCAUAUCUUAAAGAGCUCAUAGUACCCUAUUACCCCACUAGAACACUACGUUCUCUGAAUGCUGGGCUACUUGUGGUUCCUAUAGUCUCUAAAAGUAGAACAGGAGCCAGAGCCUUCAGUUACCAAGCUCCUCUCCUGUGGAACCAGCUUCCAGUUGUGGUUCGGGAGGCAGACACCCUCACCACUUUCAAGAGUAGGCUUAAGACAUUCCUCUUUGAUAAAGCUUAUAGUUAGGCCUGGAUCAGGUGAGUCCUGAACCAUCCCUUAGUUAUGCUGCUAUAGGCCUAGACUAUCGGGGGAUUUCCCAUGGUGCACUGAGCUACUCUCUUCCUCUCUCUUUCUGCACUCAUUCAUGUCCCUUUAAUGCAUGUUACUAACUCCACUUCUUCCCCGGAGUUCUUGUGCUUUCUCGUCUCGCAGGUUCUCAUGGAUCCUGGUGGAGCCUCCUGCCAUGGUCCUGCUUGACUGCCAUUGCCAAUACUGUUGUUGCUGUGCACCUGUCUGUCUGUCGCUCUCUCUCUCUCUCUCUCUCUCUCUCUCUCUCUCUCUCUCUCUCUCUCUCUCUCUCACCCCAACUGGUCGAGACAGACGACCACCCACCUAGAGCCGGAGGAUCUGUCCUAGGUUUCUGCCUUUUAACAGGCAGUUUUUCCUUGCCCUUGUCGCCAAGUGCUUGCUCAUGGUGGUACUGUUGGGUCUCUGUAAUUAAUGUUAAAGAGUUCGGUCUAGACCUGCUCUAUUUGAAAAGUGUCCUGAGAUAACUUCUGUUAUGAAUUGGCGCUAUACAAAUAAAAUUGAAUUGAAUUGAAUUGAAUUGGUGUUGAAGUUCCCACUGACAGCAAGAUAAUUCAUAUGACUGAUUUGUGAAACAUAUAACCUAUUAAAUCCCAUCACUUUAUUGCUGACCCAAUUACCAACAAGAUGAUGCUGCCAAAGACAAAAGAAUAUGAUGACGCUGCAGAUGAAGGGGUCCCCCUAAACGAGGACAUCAAUGCCCGGACACACUCCACACACUCCCUCAUUAAUUUAAUCAUUUUUGGCAGGUCUAGAUGAAAGUAAUAAUAAGUGGGAAAACAUUUGGUUUGUUAGUUAGCAAAAGUAAUGGUACUUAAGCUCAAUACAGGACAAUAAAUAAUGUGGAAACACCCUGAAUCAUUGUUUAAUAAACAUAAUGUGUUCUGACAUGUCAACCCCUCUAAUUCUAAUCCUAACACCCAUCGUGAAGGGAUGACAUGAUUUCAUUCAUUCCAAGUGCCAUGCCAUGACCAGUAUUAUUAUCCGUCAGCUUCUUCAAGAGAGAAUGAGAGGAUUAGAAUCACAUUAAACUUCAUUAAGACAAACACUACAGUUUGUCCAGCUGUCAUGCUGACUGACUGAUCUGUGUAUGACAAUCUGACUGCUGUGAUCCAAUCCUGUGCACACUUUGUAGGGCAAUAAAGAUUUAUGAUUGUAAUUAUAAUAAAUGCUGUUCUAAAAGGUACUAUAUAAAUAGUUUUUUAUUAUUAUCAGCCCUUAUUUGUUAUUAGUGAGAAUAUUUUUAGACACACACGUGUGCAUGCGCAUGCUUUUGACUUCUAUACUUUAUUUCUCAAAGGAAAUACAGUAUGUUUAAAGGACACUCUUCUAAUCCACACUAACGUGUGGGACAAAACAUUAAUGAAAGGUGUUUGAAAAUGAUUAUAUUGUUGAAUAUAUUAAAUAAAAGUAAAUGAAAUACAUUAUGCUUAGUUGGCAUGCACAUGACCAAAAGGAGUUUAUAUGUGAAAACAAGAUAUGUGAGAUUAAGUUUUCCAUGCAGUUGGGUGUAAGAUCUCUGACCUUUGCCUGACCUUUUCAUUCAAUAUAAUAUAAUUUUACCAUAAUAAUAUAAUAUUCAAUAUAAAUGUACUUGCCCUUCUCUGGGCUGAGGAGAAACCCAACUCUUCAUCUGAAGCA